UGGGGAAUUUUGGACAAUGGGGGCAACCCUGAUCCAGCCAUGCCGCGUGAGUGAAGAAGGCCUUCGGGUUGUAAAGCUCCUUCAGACGGAAAGAAAUCGGGGGUGUUAAUACCGCCCCUGGAUGACGGUACUGUCAGAAGAAGCACCGGCUAACUACGUGCCAGCAGCCGCGGUAAUACGUAGGGUGCGAGCGUUAAUCGGAAUUACUGGGCGUAAAGCGUGCGCAGGCGGUUGUGUAAGACAGGUGUGAAAUCCCCGGGCUUAACCUGGGAACUGCGCUUGUGACUGCACGGCUAGAGUACGGCAGAGGGGGGUGGAAUUCCACGUGUAGCAGUGAAAUGCGUAGAUAUGUGGAGGAACACCGAUGGCGAAGGCAGCCCCCUGGGCCGAUACUGACGCUCAUGCACGAAAGCGUGGGGAGCAAACAGGAUUAGAUACCCUGGUAGUCCACGCCCUAAACGAUGUCAACUAGUUGUUCGGAAGGGUAACUUUCUGGGUAACGCAGCUAACGCGUGAAGUUGACCGCCUGGGGAGUACGGCCGCAAGGUUAA
rnacentral:rRNA from 1 species